rnacentral:lncRNA from 1 species
GGUGUGUCGUCAUUUAUGUAUACACCGCUGUUACAUCUGCACGCACACAAUUUUUUGCAACAUAAAAUAAAAAUAACCUUUCCUCGAAGAAGGAAAAAAGCUUAGUUAAGAGGUUUAAUAUAAAAUUUACAAUGCCACGUAUUAUUGGAGUGCACAGAGUGGGAACUUUGAUUUCGUGCAGGCUGCAACACAAUAAAUGAGACAAAUGAGAGUUGGUUUCUUCUUCUUUUUUCGCCAGAAAAAGUGACUAAAUAACUGAAUAACUAAAAUUUUUAAACUGUUGUGAAGUGUACUUCAUAUAUUACUAGAUAGUCAGCUUUGUUCUUUUCGUAUAAACGUGUGUUUAAAAAUGUAAAACAUGCCCGGUAUCAAAACGGUUUGUCAAAAGGGCCUUAUUACAUCGAACAUCAGAUAAUGAAGACCACAGAGCUUUCACAUUAAUUACGGUAAUUGAGGGAUCUUGAUACUUCUCUGUAAUUUGUACAAGAAAUUUAGGUAGAGUCGGGUUUUCCUACUGGUCCACACAUGUUACAGUAUUUAAUAAACUGCUAAUUAGUUUAUCACAGCUUUUCAGGCGUCACGGUAUUUUCACAGGGAAAUUAUGGUAGGGUUAAGCAGAAACCGACAACAUUCUCGGAAUAAUAACGUUUCAGACAUUGUAUUGUACAUUGCAGUCCUGACAUCUUACUUAAAAAUAUUUUGAACAAUCAUGUGGAUGAUACCAGACAGAAACCCAAUGUUAAAUUUCCAUUCAGUCGCCAAGUAAACUAAGUAUAUUUCGAACCUUGUAUUGUCGAAUUUUUUCCCAAGGCUCAUUUAAACUAGCAAGUUGUUUAACAAUAUUAAAAAUUUUAGUUGUUUGUAAGGAUCGUUAUUUUAAAACGUAAAAGGUUGGGCAUUUGUCCAAAGUGCCAUGUGAUUUUAUUAUGGCUCUCUCAUGAAACAGGGGGGUGGUAGAACACUGCUUUGGGCUGUUAAAACAGCGUUUUGGACAAUUGUACCAUUUAAAAUUGAGGAAUGUGAAUGAGGUGGUGCGCUUCAUUCGAACAUGCAGUGUGCUACACAAUCCCACUGUGGAAGAUAACUUGGAGUUAGAAGACAACGAAGAAUGGCUGAUAAAUGAACAUAUGAACAAUGAUACACCAGCUGAAGAACUAGCAGUAGGCUUCUACAAUAGAGGUGAUAGAACUGGUGUGGCAAAGAGGAACAUGAUUGCAGCACAGUUGCAAAUGUAAAAGCAGCACCAGAUGCCCCAUCACCAUCAUAUGGGAACAAAUGGAUUUUACUAGUGUCUUUUACUAUCACAUUCCUUUCAAGAAUCCUGAUUUUGUGAUAUAUUUGUUAUUCUUACUUGUUCUGUGGACUUUAUAUCAGCAAGUAAUGCUGAACAGACUGUAAACCCCAAGCAAUUUAAGUGCUUAAUAUUUCUUGGUUUGAAUUUGUAUUUUCUUCGGAUUUUUGUUGUACUAUUUAUUAAAUAUUACAAACAGCUGAAGAGUAGUGGCAAUAGACCAUUACCCUGUUUUAAUCAUUAACAGCUCAAAGUUUUCCUGGAUUUGAAUCCAUAUUGUAUGUAUGUAAAGGUUAAUAUUAUAAUUUUGACUAAUUUUGGAUGAA